rnacentral:snoRNA from 1 species
GCUCUCCAGAUUCCUUACUCCUCAGAUCUAAAUAUUGGUCUGAGUGGCUAAAAAAGGGAGAAAGGAAGAGUGACGUGGACUGGGAGUCUUCAGUGACUUACAGGCUCAUUUCAGACAGAA